UCUCCAAAUUAUAAGCUGCGUUUUAUUUUGAUAUAUCAAUUUGGUUGCCACUUAUGUUUAUGAUGGUUCUGAUAUAGCAAUUUGAUUAAAUUUUAGGUGGCUAAGAAGUGUUGCACUGCUCCAGAUUCCUUUUGUUUAAACCCUCUCAGUGAUUGUCGUCCUGCACUCUAGCAACCAUAAAGAACACAGCUUUAGAGAUUUAAUGGAAGACACAGAGAUAACUCCCAUCUCUGAGUUACGGCCGUAUAUAAAGGCUGAGAAAAUCAAAUCUCGCGUUUGUAGAAUAUGGAAAUCAACAAUUCCCGGAACUACUUAAAAAUGCACAUCUCUACACUGCAUUUUGCUUGAUGAGACGACAUCCCAGAAGUUAAUGCAUACGAGUUGGUGUUUGUAAAUUGUAAUGAGCAUGUGAAAAUAUUGGCCCCCUCCUCCAGACAAGUAAAUGAGGCCGAAAUUUUACGCACAGCCAAGAUGUUCACAAUUGAUGAAGUCGCUUUUCUAGAUCCUGAUUUACACAAGAAUGAUACGUUUUUCUGUAAAGCGUGUGUCAAGUUUUUGGACACACGUCAUCAAUGGUGGUAUAGUGCGUGUCCCAACUGUGUAAAACAAAUGCAUAAAGACUUAACAACUGGACAACUUAUCUGCCAAAAGCAUCCAAACCAAAUUCCAACUCCUUGCUAUAAAGUCAAUUUGGUUCUUGAGGAUCACACCAAUGAAAUCAAUGCUCUCGUAAUUGGAAAAUCUGGUGAAAAGCUUUUUGGUGUGCCAUGUACAGACUUAGUACUGAAUCAAAUAUUAGUUGACCAACAACAGUUACCAAAUGAGUUUCUAAGGCUGAUCCGGCAAAAAAAAAAUAUUUCAUCUGCGAUUUGGUAACAGAAAAAGCAAAUUUAGUUCAACUGAUAUCCUUAUUUGCAAUGUCUCUGAGGAUACCUCCAUUGAGCCAAUCACUCCACAACUGUUGUCCAGAGAAAUUAGUCUCUUCAACCACCAUGUCAUCCUCUGCUUCAAUGCCUGAAACAAGUGGAUCAUUAUAUAAACGAAAGCGAGAAUCCAUCAGGAAUGCUCUUUUUACCACUGGUGAACACAGUGAACUAGAAGAAAUAUCAGAGGUUGAUACAGAAGAAUUUGAUAAGGUUCCUAUCAAAUCAUUGAAAAAAAAAAAAUCUGUCUCCGAUUGAUACAAAAACUGCCGCCACCCAGCCAAAAAAAUACUAGGUUGUUUUGACAAUGUAGAACCAAAA